CAAUAGCGUAUAUUAAAGUUGUUGCAGUUAAGAAGCUCGUAGUUGGAUUUCGGGGCAGCCUGGCUGGUCCGCCGCAAGGCGAGUACUGGUCAGCCGCCCUUCCUCUCGAAAGCCCCGACUGCUCUUUAUUGCAGUGGUCGGGUAGUUCGGGACGUUUACUUUGAAAAAAUUAGAGUGUUCAAGGCAGGCCUACGCCUGAAUACAUUAGCAUGGAAUAAUGGAAGAGGACCUCGGUCCUAUUUUGUUGGUUUCCAGGACCGAAGUAAUGAUUAAGAGGGACAGUUGGGGGCAUUCGUAUUUAAUUGUCAGAGGUGAAAUUCUCGGAUUUAUGAAAGACGAACAACUGCGAAAGCAUUUGCCAAGGAUGUUUUCAUUAA
rnacentral:rRNA from 1 species